GGACCUGUCACGUGGCCAGAAGGGGCGUGGGUUCUCGUGGGCCCCGCCCAGCUGGUCCAGGGCAAGGGCAAGGGCGGCGCGGCUGGUGAGGGAAUCAACCAGCGACGCUGCGCCGCGGCGGGGUGCAGCGACAGGAGCUGGAGCAGGGUAGGAGGCGUCCCGGGCACAACCCUCUAAGCCGGCUAGGGCCGCGCGCGUCUUUUCGCCGCACGCGGGUAACGGCCGGACGCUCCCAGGUGCCGCGCGGGGUGGAGAUGUCUUCAUGGUCACAUAACUAGAAUUGGAGAAGGGACAACUUCGUAGCUGGUUGAAGAUAUGCAGGUUUGCAGCAUGGAGGAACUCUAAUUGAAAGAAAUACUGAGACAAGGCCUCUUUCAACAUGGAGACUGUUUUAUUUGAAGGGGAACCUGACAGAACU